UACGUAGGGCGCAAGCGUUUGUCCGGAAUUAUUGGGCGUAAAGAGCUCGUAGGCGGCUUGUCACGUCGGGUGUGAAAGCUCGGGGCUUAACCCCGGGUCUGCAUUCGAUACGGGCUGGCUGGAGUGUGGUAGGGGAGAUCGGAAUUCCUGGUGUAGCGGUGAAAUGCGCAGAUAUCAGGAGGAACACCUAUGGCGAAGGCAGCUCUCUGGUACAUGACUGACGCUGAGACGCGAAAGCGUGGGUAGCAAACAGG
rnacentral:rRNA from 1 species